AUAUCAAUAAGCGGAGGAAAAGAAACCAACAGGGAUUGCCUUAGUAACGGCGAGUGAAGCGGCAAAAGCUCAAAUUUGAAAACCCUCGGGUGUUGUAAUUUGAUGAAGGUGGGUUGGAAAGGAAAAAGUGUGUUGGAAAACACCGCCAUAGAGGGUGAUAGCCCCGUUACCUAUCCAUUAAACGCACCUUCAAAGAGUCGAGUUGUUUGGGAAUGCAGCUCUAAAGGGUGGUAAAUUCCAUCUAAAGCUAAAUAUUGGCGAGAGACCGAUAGCGAACAAGUACAGUGAUGGAAAGAUGAAAAGCACUUUGAAAAGAGAGUGAAAAAGUACGUGAAAUUGUUGAAAGGGAAGGGGAAGUGGGGGUGGAAACUGAAGGGAGGGGGUAGUUAAACCGGUAGGGUAAUGUAGCUCCUAGAGUGUUAUAGACCCUACUACAAGCUGCAUCCUUCCCUCUAGUCUCCUCAACCGCCACUUCUCGC
rnacentral:rRNA from 1 species